rnacentral:rRNA from 1 species
CCUACGGGGGGCAGCAGUGGGGAAUAUUGGACAAUGGGGGGAACCCUGAUCCAGCCAUGCCGCGUGUGUGAAGAAGGCCCUCGGGUUGUAAAGCACUUUCAGUGAGGAAGAACGCCUGGUGGUUAAUACCCAUCAGGAAAGACAUCACUCACAGAAGAAGCACCGGCUAACUCCGUGCCAGCAGCCGCGGUAAUACAGAGGGUGCGAGCGUUAAUCGGAAUUACUGGGCGUAAAGCGCGCGUAGGUGGCUUGAUAAGCCGGUUGUGAAAGCCCCGGGCUCAACCUGGGAACGGCAUCCGGAACUGUCAAGCUAGAGUGCAGGAGAGGAAGGUAGAAUUCCCGGUGUAGCGGUGAAAUGCGUAGAGAUCGGGAGGAAUACCAGUGGCGAAGGCGGCCUUCUGGACUGACACUGACACUGAGGUGCGAAAGCGUGGGUAGCAAACAGGAUUAGAUACCCUAGUAGUC